AAGGAGAAGACAUGGGAUUGAGAUCGGCGGCGACGUUUGGUAAUGAGGAGAUCGUAGAUCGAGGAGAAAGGAGCAGUGAUGACGGAUCUUUCGGCAUGAGGAGUUUGCCGAAUUCGAGAGAGCGCGAAGGAGGACGCGCUACGUCGAUCGGUGGCGAGUACCGCUUAUUCCAAGGAUGUGGGAGCCUCGACGGAGCUUCGACGGAGCUUUGCCAGAAACUGGGCAGAGGUGUGAGCCCCUUGGCCGGAGAAGAAGAGGGACCCAACUACAGUUUCCAAAAGUUAAGUGACCCGUUGGUAAUUCUCCCAGUUAGUUAUAAGUUUUGCUUCCGUAGUUCUAAACUUUUGGAUGGUUUACAGUUAAGGACUUGGGUCUAUUUUGUCAAUGAUUGGAAGUUCUGGAUCAGCUAGUAUAACGUAGGCAGUUAGAGGACUAGCGAGUUUUAGAAUGUUGUAAAGAAGUAAAUGGAGCAUAACUUCGUUAUUUGAGCUCCAAACGAUGCACAGUCAAAAGCUACGGGCUCGUGACAGUGAGAGGAAUCAUGUCAAGUCAAAAUCAGAGAUACCAGCUCUUCAUAACAGGUGGGGGUUUAGGAUUAGUUUUUCUCUUUAAUCGUAGAAUUGUAAUUAGGUGAGAGUUUAAUGAUUGGAUUCUCAGGACUAUACAGUAACGUGUGAUCUACUAUACAAGUGUUGUAUUUCAGAGCAAGGCUCUCAGGCUGUCUAGUAGCGUGUGAUCUACCGUACAUAUAGUUAUAUUAUUACGAGCAUAAACUCUUGGUAAUUGAACUGUAGCGUGUGAUUCACAAGUUAGAGUAGGACAAGAUUAGGCUUAGCUAGAUAGCUCCCAUUUAUGCGUUGGUCACCCACCAAUGGAUUGCGCAAUCCCCCAGGAUUCAUUCAAGUUCAGACAGGACGUGAUGAGUUAACCUUCAGUGUUGCUCUUAAGGCUUUUCAAGGUGGUUUCAUGGUCUGAUCCACCACGAGGUUGUUCGCUCAUAGCUCGGGGUGGCUGAUGUUAGGAUGAUGCCUACAGGAUCACAAGGUCACAUUAUUAGUUUCAGUGUUUAAAUAAACUUCUUGUUCUAUCCUCGGUGAAGGCUCAGUAAAGUCUCAGUACAUGCAGAGUAAAGUUUCAAUACAUGCCAGUAAAAUCUCAACUCAGUUCAGUUCUACGCAAGGCUAGUUUAGCCACUCAGUGCUUAUCACUGACCCCGUUAUUUUUUUUUUCCUUGGUGUAUCUGUUUGUUCAGUCACAAGUAUUGGAGCUGAUGGUGGGGAGAGAGCUGGUCGGUGUUUUGGUAUCAAAAGAUAUCGUUUUGAUGUAUUUUCAGACUAGAGUUGCAUCUCUUUUUAUUUUAUUGUGUUUUGGGAUCCGGGAUCCUAGUUGGUCAGCUGUAUUUAAGUGUUCAACUUUCAGCGUUUAUUUCUUGAUUUAAUGUUUUGUUUAGUGAAUUAGGGUUGAGUUAUGGUUCAAGUUGAAACUGAGUAGGAUUCUUUGAUUGAACCAAUGAUUCAAGCGAGAUUUCUAGAGUGAGAUUUCACAUUCAUCAAAUUAAUAAGGCUGGAAAUUUACUAAAAAGGGUAAGAAAUGACAAAAGUAAUUCACUUAAGCAAACAAAAACUCACAAGUAAAAUGAAACUUCUUCACUUAAGGCUGGUUGCUAAAUCCAUGAUAUAAAGACAUAAAAAUGAUCAACUAUCAUCUAGCUUAAUACCAUAUACAUUAAGGACUCAAAGACCAUACAAAGACUUUAAACAUGACAUCAACAUUCAGCAAUACAUGAGUUCUUUGUUAAAAAAAGUUGCUGGAAUUUUAUUAAAAAAAUGUGAAAAUAAUUAAAGUUCUCAAAACGAAUGAGCUACCUUCAUUCUACCAAAAUUGUUACACUUACCCUUGAUUGAAUAGCCAAGUUAUCAUCUCUUUUUUAACGUAUUGGCAACAAAAAAGGGUGAUAUACCCUUCUUUCUUUCUUAUACGCGUUGACUUUAAAGAAUUGAAAUAAUUUCAAAUUCUUAUUUUACUUUCGUUGAACUUCGUUUUCUCAUUCUUGUUCCUAGGUCGGCUUUCUCGAGCAAGUCGGCAGCGAAUUUCUUCACCUGGAAACGUAAAGAAGAGAAAAUCAGUUAAUUUUGAUUAAAAUAAGAUGUUAGAUCUUUUCACUUAGUGGGGGUCGUUUUCGGGGUUUUAGUCCUACCGGCGACGAUCCUCCGACUGGCGGCCUCAUCCUCUUCCACAGUUUUCCGAAAAAAAUAAAAGGAAAAUCAGGGAUAAAGGAGAAGAAAAUAUGUUAAUGAAAGAAUAAGACCUAAAACUUGUGGAUCGAGGCUUGAAUGUUGGCGGAGGACUCGCCGGUAGUGUCCUCCGACGACAUGCAAGUCUAGACUUAGUUUAAACCGAAAAUAAGAGAGGAAUAGAAAGAUAGGAGCGGCCACUGCGAAGAAGAGCAGAGAAGAGGAGAAGCGGAGUGGUGUUGGCACGCGAAGGAGAGCUGGCGGUAGCAUCAACACCAUCGCCAAUGAACGGGAGAUGAGAGGGGAUGGUAAAGAGAAAAGGAGAAGAGUCGAU
rnacentral:lncRNA from 1 species